UACAGAGGUGGCAAGCGUUGUUCGGAAUUACUGGGCGUAAAGGGCGCGUAGGCGGCCUCCUAAGUCGGACGUGAAAGCCCCAGGCUUAACCUGGGAACUGCGUCCGAUACUGGGAGGCUUGGAUUCGGGAGAGGGAUGUGGAAUUCCAGGUGUAGCGGUGAAAUGCGUAGAUAUCUGGAGGAACACCGGUGGCGAAGGCGGCAUCCUGGACCGAGAUCGACGCUGAGGCGCGAAAGCUAGGGGAGCAAACGGGG
rnacentral:rRNA from 1 species